ACGCGUGUGUAGUGUGAUAUAAACAAGAGGGAUCGACUAAGGCCUUGAAUAUUGUUGGGCAUCGCUGAUAGAAGUCUUCGAGUAAAGAUUCAUCGUUGGAGAGUGAGGUGCGCAGCGUAUGGCGUAGUGCAUCGUUCCUCUUCGAAGCUUCGUCCGUUUAGCACGUGUUUGCAACAGAAGUACAUUCUAACAAAACAUGAAAAGCCGAAUAUGGAACCAUUAAAUGAAUCUUCGUCAAAUUAAAGUGCCGGUAUGUCAACACCCUACCUACUACACUACUCUGCAACAUCAAUUUACUUAGGAGACCAUCCGCCAGAGGUUUUCUUCUAGCUACUUUUCAACAGCCACUCA